CCCUUAGAUGUUCUGGGCCGCACGCGCGCUACACUGAUGCAUUCAACAAGCCUAGCCUUGACCGAGAGGUCCGGGUAAUCUUUGAAACUGCAUCGUGAUGGGGCUAGAUUAUUGCAAUUAUUAAUCUUCAACGAGGAAUGCCUAGUAAGCGUGAUUCAUCAAAUCGCGUUGAUUACGUCCCUGCCCUUUGUACGCACCGCCCGUCGCUCCUACCGAUUGAAUGUGUUGGUGAGGAGCUCGGAUUGGCAGCAGUUGGUGGUUCGCCACCGGCUAUUGCUGAGAAGUCCUCCAAACCGCCCCAUUUAGAGGAAGGAGAAGUCGUAACA
rnacentral:rRNA from 1 species